rnacentral:rRNA from 1 species
GAUGAACGCUGGCGGCGUGCCUAAUACAUGCAAGUCGAGCGAACAGAUGAGGAGCUUGCUCCUCUGACGUUAGCGGCGGACGGGUGAGUAACACGUGGAUAACCUACCUAUAAGACUGGGAUAACUUCGGGAAACCGGAGCUAAUACCGGAUAAUAUAUUGAACCGCAUGGUUCAAUAGUGAAAGACGGUUUUGCUGUCACUUAUAGAUGGAUCCGCGCCGCAUUAGCUAGUUGGUAAGGUAACGGCUUACCAAGGCAACGAUGCGUAGCCGACCUGAGAGGGUGAUCGGCCACACUGGAACUGAGACACGGUCCAGACUCCUACGGGAGGCAGCAGUAGGGAAUCUUCCGCAAAGGGCGAAAGCGUGACGGAGCAACGCCGCGUGAGUGAUGAAGGUCUGCGGAUCGUAAAACUCUGUUAUUAGGGAAGAACAAAUGUGUAAGUAACUAUGCACGUCUUGACGGUACCUAAUCAGAAAGCCACGGCUAACUACGUG